rnacentral:rRNA from 1 species
CACGGGGGGAGCAAGCGUUGUUCGGAAUCACUGGGCGUAAAGGGCGUGUAGGCGGUCAGGUAAGUGAGACGUGAAAUGCCCCGGCUUACCCGGGGACCUGCGUCUCAUACUGCUUGGCUUGAGUACGGGAGAGGGUGUGGGAAUUCCUGGUGUAGCGGUGAGAUGCGUAGAUAUCGGGAGGAACACCAGUGGCGAAGGCGACUACCUGGCCUGUUCUUGACGCUGAGGCGCGAAAGCUAGGGGAGCAAACGGG